GGUACUUCUAUGCUAUUCUUUCUUGCUUAUUAUAUUAUUACGAUGAUGAUGAUGAUGAUAGGUGAUGUUCUGUUGAGGGAACAAUUUGAAAAGCUUUUACUUUCUCUAAUGGUUGAUAUUAUUAUGUUCACUCAACUAAACAUACUGCAUAGAUCGAAAUAAGGAAUGGGCCCCCAUUUAGCUAAAAAGAGUAGGGCAAAGUAAGAAGGAUAAGGGCUCUUCGAUUGUUCUGUAGAUGAUAACGGGGAAAUUAAUGAAGGUACCCUCUAUUUUCAUGUGUGUUGUAUUUGGUUACCGUAGAA